rnacentral:rRNA from 1 species
CCUACGGGAGGCAGCAGUGAGGAAUAUUGGACAAUGGGCGCAAGCCUGAUCCAGCCAUGCCGCGUGCAGGAAGAAGCAUCUAUGGUGUGUAAACUGCUUUUGUACAGGAAGAAACACUCCCUCGUGAGGGAGCUUGACGGUACUGUAAGAAUAAGGACCGGCUAACUCCGUGCCAGCAGCCGCGGUAAUACGGAGGGUCCGAGCGUUAUCCGGAAUCAUUGGGUUUAAAGGGUCCGUAGGCGGUUUAAUAAGUCAGUGGUGAAAUCUGGUCGCUCAACGAUCAAACGGCCAUUGAUACUGUUAGACUUGAAUUAUAAGGAAGUAACUAGAAUAUGUAGUGUAGCGGUGAAAUGCUUAGAUAUUACAUGGAAUACCAACUGCGAAGGCAGGUUACUACUUAUGGAUUGACGCUGAUGGACGAAAGCGUGGGGAGCGAACAGGAUUAGAUACCCUGGUAGUCCACGCCGUAAACGAUGGAUACUAGCUGUUCGGAGCAAUCUGAGUGNGUAGAGAAGUAGAUAAGUAUACCACCGUCGGGAGGUACGUUCGUCGAGAAGAGUAACGUUAAAGUAGUAAGUUAGUACGGACGUGAGACGUAGACCGACGGACGACGACGAGGGAGGAGG